UGCGUAGGUGGUUGUUUAAGUCUGUUGUGAAAGCCCCGGGCUCAACCUGGGAAUGGCAAUGGAUACUGGACAGCUAGAGUGCGGUAGAGGGUAGUGGAAUUCCCGGUGUAGCAGUGAAAUGCGUAGAGAUCGGGAGGAACACCAGUGGCGAAGGCGGCUACCUGGACCAGCACUGACACUGAAGCACGAAAGCGUGGGGAGCAAACA
rnacentral:rRNA from 1 species